GUUCUGCUCAAUGAUAAAUAAAUUAAAUAGCUGCAGUAUUUUGACUGUACAAAGGUAGCAUAAUAAAUUGUUUUUUAAUUGAAAACUAGAAUGAAGGAAUUAAUGAGAUAAAAACUUUAUUUAAAUAAUUAAUUGAAUUUUAUUUUUAAGUUAAAAAGCUUAAAUAUUUUUAUAAGACGAUAAGACCCUAUAGAAUUUAAUUUAUUAUAUUAAAAUUAAUUUUAUAAGUAAAUUAGUUAAUUAUAUAAUAAAUUUUUUUGGGAGGAAAAUUAAAUUUAUUUAACUUUAUUAUAUAAAUUAACAUAAAUAAAUGUUAAAAAAAUAAAUGAAUUUAUUUAAUUUAUAAUAACUAGAUUAAAUUACCUUAGGGAUAACAGCGUAAUAUUUUUGGAUAGUUCAUAUUGAUAAAAAUGUUUACGACCUCGAUGUUGAAUUAAGAUAAAAUUUAUAAGUAGAAAUAUAAAAUUUAAGUCUGUUCGACUUUUAAUAUCUUCAUGAUUUGAGUUCAAAUC
rnacentral:rRNA from 1 species